rnacentral:miRNA from 1 species
CUUCCUAGAUAAACGCGCGAUAUC